rnacentral:sRNA from 1 species
AUCAAUAGAAGUUUUAAAUAGAAGAAUAGAAUACCCAAUGGUCUCUGUUUCAAUCUUGUCCUUAUUUUCUGAGUCCAUAUGUAAACAACGAUUACUUUUAAGUUCUAAAUAAAGUUAUAAGUUGAAAAAA